UUUGCUUUGGCUGACAUGCCCACAUCCUCUGCCCCACGCAGGCUGUUACAGGCGCUGGAACGCGGACGGGAGCGCCAGCUGCGUCCGCUGUGGGAACGGAACCCUCCCAGCCUACAACGGCUCCGAGUGUAGAAGCUGUAGGUCUGCCUGGCUCCCCCCGGCUCCCUUCUCACAGCUCCAGCUGUGGGAGACACUGUGGAAGUUGCUGUCAGUGUCCCCACCUUGCCCCAGAGCCACUGUCCCCUGGGGAACAGCCCUGGGAGCCCCCUCUUCCCGAGUCCACUGGGCCACUCAGGACAGCUCUGUGUUGAGGGCUGCUCCGCCCCCUCAGCCCCUCGCUUUCAUAUUUCUGGCCUGAGAUCCCCUUCAGGGUGCGCGUGGGUGUCCCUAUGGGCUCCGUGCACACAGGCUUCCCACAGCUCUGCUCUCCCACAGUCGCUGGCCGGGGUGCGCCAUUCCCCAUGAACAGAAGCUCAGGGACCCCCGGGCGGCCACAUCCUGGGGCUUCGCGCGUGGCCGCCUCCCUCUUCCUGGGCACCUUCUUCAUCAGCUCCGGCCUCAUCCUCUCCGUAGCUGGGUUCUUCUACCUCAAGCGCUCCAGUAAACUCCCCAGGGUCUUCUACAGAAGAAACAAAGCCCCGGCCCUGCAGCCUGGCGAAGCCGUAAGUAACCCGUGUCAUCCGGGCUGAGUGUCCCCGGCCGCGUGUGCCUGUGCUGGGCCAUCCCAAGUCCUCACUCUGCCUUUCUCUCCUUUUCAAGGCUGCAAUGAUCCCCCCGCCACAGUCCUCAGGUAACAGCAGCUGUCGCAUCCCCCUGUGGGGUUUCCCAUCUCUGGGCCAGUCCCAGGGUGCUCUGUGGGUUUGUCCUCAAACAAACGUGUUUGCCUGGCUCUGGAUCUUGGCCGCCCCUGCCCGGGUCCCCGGGAGACCCACCCACGAGGCAGGGCCAGGGCCAGAUUUGGCGGUGCCCCCUGCUCUGGAUCUCAGCUGGAUUUGGCCGGUGCCCCCUGCCCGCCCCCUUUAAUCCCCGUGACUUCCAUGCUCUUUCCUGUUCCUGAGAAGUGGGGUCUGCAGGAAACGAGGACCCACCAUGACAGGGCAGAUCCCCAAUACCUGCCCCUUCUUUAAGUCCAGCUCCACCCGAGGACAGAGGCAGCCGGCCUCUGCCAGGCCCCCCUGAGCAGCCAUCGCUUCAGUGGUGCUGGGUCAGGCGGACCCAAGAGUCAGCCCGGUUACGACCCAUUUUAUGUGCGGGGCCACGGCCACAGAGAGGCUGAGUGACUGGCCCACGGCCACAGAGAGGCUGAGUGACUGGCCCACGGACACACAGUUCCAAGGCCAUGAGCAGAGUUCACCCAGCCUCCAUCCCCCUGAGCAGAGGUCUCUCAUGGGGGCAGGUGACAGUGCCUCUGGGGACAGACAGUUCUCCAUCAAGGCUGGACCUGCCCCGUCCCUAAAGCAGCCCUGUCUGCAAGUGCCCAGCAGACCCCACGGUGCCCGAGUGCCCCGGGGCUGCCGGCUUCAACAGCAGACCUUUAAUCUGACCGUCCUAGAGUUCAGAAGUCCAAAACCAAGGGGCAGGCAAGGCCACACGCUUCGCGAGGCUCCGGGGAGGACCCUGUCUGCCUUCCCAGCCCCUGCCUGCCUUCCCAGCCCCUGCCGGCUCAGGCGUCUGUGGCUGCGUUGCCUGUCUCUGCCCCCUGGUCCCACGGCGUCUCCCCCACCUCUGCGUCUUCUCUCUCCACCUGCCUCUCAGGUGGGCCCUGGCCGUUGAUUCAGGGCCUGCCCAGGGAACCCUGGGCGAUCACACCUGAGACCCUGAUGUAACCCUCUGCAAAGCCCCUUCUUCUAAAUAAGGUCACAUUCGAGGUCUCGGGGCUACGGCCUGCUUGUCGCCCCCUGAGGUGCAUGAUGCUCUGGGACCCACAUCUCUGUCUUCGGGGAUAGCCUGGCCCUUGUCCAGGCCCCGGGGCCCAGGGUGUAAAUGAGAGGACGCAGCCGGGCAGGAGGAAGCCGUCCCUUUCCCGAGCCGGAGCUCUGAGGGCGCCUUAGGGGCAGGGGGCAUCUGGGUUCCCACCUGGUCAGAGUAAACAGCCCUGGGCGCCUGGCUCCCGAGAGCCUCCGGUGAGGGCUGAGGCCUGCACUGUCCCUGCUGUCCAGGUCCCACUCUGACCCCGCCUGUCUCUGACCCGUUUCAGUACGCAAGCCGCGCUACGUCAGGCGGGAGCGGACCCUGGACGGGGCCACGGACCCCGCUGCCUUCUCGGCGGAGGCCCGUAUCAGCAAUGUCUGACCUGGAGGCCGAGACCGCGCCACACACUUGGCGGCAGGGACCCGGAGGCCGACCCCUUGGCGGGAACCCAGCACAAAGGGUUGGCAUUGCCCGGCGCCUGGGACAGUCCUGGGCACAGCCUCAGCUCUGAGUCCCUCCGUCUCCCAGCGACAGACGCCAAGGGGUCCCGGGCCGCCUGAGGCUCCUUCCCACCACAGCCAUCUCGUUUAUCGGACCAGGAGCAGGCAUCCGUGAGACCUCAGAGCUUCAGAUCAAGGCCUUGGGGGGUCUGGGCCCCCAGGAAAUACGGUGAGGCCCCAGCGCCUGCAGCCAAGAUGGAGGCCUGGCUCAGGCAGCCAAAGCUGGCAUGAUCUGUGGGGCAGGCGCCGCUCUGCCUAGAAAAGCCAGGGGCUCCGCUGCCAUGCCCUCCGGAGCCCACAACGGGCAGGACACCUCCAGCACCACCGCACCCCGUGGCCCGAGACCCCUCUGGGGACAGUGAGGCUGGUCCUCGUGCCGUUCCAGCCGGUGCCCAGCCAGUGGGCAGGAUGCAGCCUAGGAACCAGCUGCCUGAGACCAGGGUGCCUCUGGGCUGUCCCCCUGCGUGGCGGAGACCCCAAGCACGCAGCCACCCAUUUCCGGAGCUGCAGGAUAGAGCUUCCUCUGGAUCUCUUUGUUUUUAAGCAGAAAUUCAUUGUGCAGAAAAGUCCUCCAGAGCUCUGCGGCCCCGCUCGGAUCCGCUGGACCCCCGUGCCUGGCUGAUCCCUGCCCACGUAGGGCAGGCCCACAUCUAACCCCCACAAGUCACUGCCUCACUGGACCUGCUGAGGCUGCCCUGGUGCUGUCUGAGGCGCUGUCUGAGUCCUGGGGUCCCUCCUGGAGUUGCUGGGAGAAAGGCGCCGUUGUGGCCGCCUCCCGCACGCCAGGCUUGGGGCUCCACUGUGGGUCUCAGAUGCCCUGCGGUACCGGCACUGUCUGCUUUAGCAUCGGAUCCCCAUCUGAGGGGUGGCCUGGCCUUCGGGGUCCCCACGUUCCUUUGCGAAGUCCGCUGUGGGUGCCAUCAUGGUCUCCGGGACCUGGGCCAGCGGGAACGUGGGGGGCCCUUAGUGCUGAUAUAAAGUCGGCAUUACGC
rnacentral:sRNA from 1 species